CACCGCUUCUUUGAGACCAAUUAUUUUCCUUGUAUAAUAUCUUUCAGACUUUUUAAGCCCGUAAUCUUCGGAGCCGAACAGGAGAGGACCUUGGUAUCUGCCACCAUCAAUCACACAUAAUUUUCUUGCGUGUCUUGAGACGCGACUAAGAGAUUCACCGCAGAAUUAUUAUACCGACAUUCUAAGAUGGCCAACUUGCAUUUAUGAUUUUAAAUAUGGAACUGCUGUUAUGUACACAAAACAAGUGAGACUUCGAUAUUACUUCUGUAUGCAAUAAUAAAAAAAUCAUAAUAUACAGUUAUACUCUAUUCGAAUUACGAAGUCCCAUGAGACAGGUGUUAUUAUUAUGUUAUUGUGUGUGUGAAUUAAUUGUAUAAUGAUAUAGAUUGAUUGUGUAUUUUUUAAAUGAUGUUUACUUACGACCAUGAAUAAAAAAUGAUUAUUAUUUCGAAUUAUGCGAAACGUGAAGAGUUACGUUCUAAGAAGUGUCAAAAGGGACUUCGUAAUUGGAAUAGAGUAUAGUAUAUUUUACCUUUGAUAUUACAACUAUGUAUAAAUAAGUCUAAAGAAAAAAGUGUGUGUGUGUGUGUGCAAGUCACACACGGUAGAAGUGAAACUUAUAAAUAAAAUCUUCGAUCAACAAUAGUAACUAGAUUUCGGGUCGGUGCAUAAAAUCCGUCUCGUCAAAUAACAGCGCACUUGAAAUGUGAGCUGUUAUUUUGUUUAGUUCACUUCAAACACAGCCAAUGUCAACCCGUCUCACAAUACCGCAGUGUGUAUUCAAAAGUUGCAAAAAUAAGGCCCGAAAAAGCAAUUUAACGGCCGGAAUAUCUUACUUUCGCUUUCCUAGCAAUCACGUGUGCAGAAUGGAUCUGGAUUGUCUCCAGAGAAACAAGAGAUGACUUUUAUAAGCCAGCUAAGAUCUCCGCUUAUUGACACUGGACAUCUUUGUCUUCCGUGCUCACGGCUACUGAAACGUGGCCGAAACAUUGUAAUAAAAAUACCUCGCUUGAAACCGUUUAAACGUUGUUUUAUUAUGUGCACUGGUCGCGAAAACUUAAAAAUAUAUAUUACACAAAAACGUAACGCUAAUAAAAUAAUAAGUAAUGUAUAGAUACUAACAAACAUACAUUUCCAAAACAUAAAAAGUAAACAACUAAACUUUUACUUUAAUUCAUUAAUAAAUUAUUUUAGUGUUAAGCGCGACUCCCUUACCUCCUGUAGUAAAUAGAAAUCGGCAUUUCAAGAA